rnacentral:tRNA from 1 species
GCCGCCAUGGCACAAUCUGGUACUGCGAUCGCUUGGAGAGCGGUUUCCCGCAAGGGUUUCCCGGUUCAAAUCCGGGUGGCGGCG